ACAAACUUGGUCAUUUAGAGGAAGUAAAAGUCGUAACAAGGUUUCCGUAGGUGAACCUGCGGAAGGAUCAUUAAAGAGAGCCCGGGGCGCCCCAGGGCCCCCAGACCUCCCACCCUUUGUGAAUCUACCUCUGUUGCUUUGGCGGGAGGAGCCAUGCUUUGGCCCCCGCUGGCUGCUCCCUAGGAGCGUCGGCGCAUUCCCGCCAGAGGAUCAUCAUAAUCUUGCUUUUGAAAAGCCAUGCAGUCUGAACAAACACACUAUGAAAAUAGCGAAAAAACUUUCAACAACGGAUCUCUAGGUUCUGGCAUCGAUGAAGAACGCAGC
rnacentral:misc_RNA from 1 species